rnacentral:rRNA from 1 species
UACGUAGGGUGCAAGCGUUGUCCGGAAUUAUUGGGCGUAAAGAGCUCGUAGGCGGUUUGUCGCGUCUGCUGUGAAAACCCGAGGCUCAACCUCGGGCCUGCAGUGGGUACGGGCAGACUAGAGUGCGGUAGGGGAGACUGGAAUUCCUGGUGUAGCGGUGAAAUGCGCAGAUAUCAGGAGGAACACCGGUGGCGAAGGCGGGUCUCUGGGCCGAUACUGACGCUGGAGGGAGCGAAAGCCGUGGGGAGCGAACAGG